GCUGGGCAUGGUGGCGUGUGCCUGUAAUCCCAGCUACUCAGGAGGCUGAGGCAGGAGAAUUGCCUGAACCCAGGAGGCGGAGGUUGCGGUGAGGCGAGAUCACGCCAUUGCACUCCAGCCUGGGUAACAAGCGAAACUGUGUCUCAAAAAAAAAAAAAAAAAAAUCAAAUUUGGGUAUUUUGUGGAGUGAAUUCAAUCGCAAGGUUUGUUGUUUGUUUGUUUAUUGAGACGGAGUUUCACUCUGAUUACCCAGGCUGGAGUGCAAGUGGCGCGAUCUCGGCUCACAGCAACCUCUGCCUCCUGGGUUCAGGCAAUUCUCCCGCCUCAG
rnacentral:SRP_RNA from 13 species